rnacentral:lncRNA from 1 species
AGGCUUGGCAUUCGGGCGGAUCGGGGCCGGAUUUAUAUGCAUCCGGUACCCACCCGUUGAAGUGCCGGAUUCGGGGAUUCCCCGCCCGAUGACAGCAAUCGGGUUUAAAUUCGAUACCAUCCCCGCCCAUCAUCGGAUUUCGGAGUUGCUCGGAGCUCCGAACUUCUUUCGAAACAAAACAAAAAUCGACAUCAAAAGUAUGAAAUUAUCAAAAAUACUAAAUUUCCAUUGAACCAUCAAUCCAUCAUCCAACACAAUUCAAGAAAUAUAAAUGUAGUAAACUAGUGAACCAUCAAUUCAUCAUCCAACACAAUUCCAGAAACACAAAAACCUUGAACCAGUGAAGCAUCAAGCCAACUUCCAACACAAUUCCAGAAAGUGAUAAACAUGAACUUGAAUCUUUUAGCAAUUGCAGCACAGCAGUAGACAGCACAGCAGCAGACAUCAGCAUCCAGAUUCAUUAUUCUUCAAGGAUUUUGUUCCGUAAAAUUUGCUCUACACAUAAGUCAUAACAGUUCAGAACUAAUUAUAAGGCAGCAACAUUAAGAUUUAAUCACAGUUCAUAUCUAAGAAGCUAAUACCUCCAAUUUCAUCUUCAGUAUGGAUAAGAUCGUCUUCAAUUAGUGAAGAGAAGCAACCUUCCAUAACAGCUGCAUCUGCAAUUAAGUAAACAACAUUAAAACAAAACAAUAAGAAAAACUUGAAUCAGACACCAAACCCUAAAUACUAAAUCCGAUAUAAGAAAAACUUUACCUUUUCAAUCGAAUCUGCCGCCUGCACGCAGCUGAUGCAGCCUGCAUGUAUCUGAUUGUUGUUGUCAGCUUGAUUUCUCGACACCAAUAUCUCAGUCAGACGUACAGAGAAACAAUCAAACAAGUAAAGCAGAGCAGGUGAGGUGAGUAAGGUUGAUGAUUGAAAUCUGAGAUAAUAGAUGAACUUUAAGAACCUGAAAACUAAUUGGGAACCCACCUCGUAUAUAUAGGCAUCUCGAGAAGUCCAUACGAAUCGACUUCUACUCGCAUGCAAGCACUGCAAGUCAUCCAUUGGAGUAUCGUCGAUGCUAUAUCGGAACUGCAGAUUUAUCAUCGGGAAAGGAAGGAAGUUAAGGAGAUAAUUAAUGAUUUCGCGCGAAGGAUGUUAGGGUUAGGGAUUCGAGAGUGUUCUUCAGAGAGAAUCGGGGGAGAUGAGGAGUCUGUUUUUUUUUUCGAAAUUGGGGGAUGCAAUGCAAAUAAUGAAAUUGGGAACUGAAACAUUGAAAUUGGGAGUCUGGUUAUAUAUUAAUAUCUAAUUUCGGGCGGACUCGGGUCGGAUACCAUCGAAUCCGAUCCCCACCCAUUACCCGAUCAUUUUUGGGAUUCGAAUUAAUCCGAAUCCGAUUCCCAGCCCGGUCACACCGAAUCGAAUUAAUCCGAAUCCGAUUCCCAGCCCGGUCAAACCGAAUUUUACCCGCGUUGACCGGUUCGAAUUUGGAUGAAUUUUCGGGUUUCCGGACCAGAAUGCCAAGCCUAAUACGUAAGUAGAUCUUUCAUAUGUUAAUCUCAUCAUUAAACAUCUGGCCAGGACCGGGCGCACUCUCCGGUGUCCGGCCAUGAUCAUGCUUAUCAUGAUGAUGUUACCAAAAGAAAAAAAGUUACUUGAUGGAUGAUUAUUGGAGAAGAGA